rnacentral:rRNA from 1 species
AUGGCGACUGGGCGCUGCGGGCACACAGAGCACGCCCCAGAGCUCCACAGCCUCUGGCUCGGCUUCUCGACCAGCGGCCGCCUCUGCGCGUGGGACAACUUGUGUGCCCUCAUUAUUACCACUGAAGCCUGCUCAAAGGCGAAGGCCGCUCAUCUCCAUCACUGGGAGGAGCGCCAGCCGCCGAGACAGCCAUCCACUUCGCCAUUGCCGACGUCCUCGCCCCGGCAGAUCGAGAGAGAUGCGGAAAAGAGGCGGGAGGAAGAGGAAAAGACGUGCCAGCUCCAUCCCCUCCACUGCGUUGUGCGCCUGGCUCUCACCUGCAACCAUUCUACCUCCACCCCCUGCCAAAUUCUCCAUCCCUUUCUUACAAAUUCCUGUAAGUUCUUAUUGUUCGGCUACCUGUACAUGGAUGUUUAUCCCAAAAAAUAG